rnacentral:lncRNA from 1 species
CCACAUCCCUCCCAUUUUUCGUACUUUACUCUUCACCAUCAUUUACGAGGUUAUAAACAAGGUUAUUCAUGUGGAAAACUUCAGACUGUUGCUUUUUCAUUUUUCUUCCAUUUUUGUUUAAUGUUGUCGUUACCAUUUUUUUAUCGUAUGUGUUGUUUGUGAUGGUUCAUGAUUUGUUUCGUUUGUCAUACAUGGAUGCAUACAUCUUCGAUCUCAUUUUGGACGACAUGUUCAUCUUCAUGGAAGGAAGGUGAUGAACAACCAUGUUCAUAAGAUAUUAGUUUGUUGUUUGUUCUUUUUGCUGUAAAUUUUUAUUAUGUUUUUAAUUUUGUUUUUUAUAUAUUUUAUUUGAUGCCAUGGAGGAGUGGUUGAGAC